rnacentral:tRNA from 1 species
GGCAUAGCUCAGUGGUAGAGUGUGUGCUUAGCAUGCACGAAGUCCUAGGUUCAAUCCCCAAUACUGCCA